GUCAAGGCCUCGGCGUACUGCUCAGUAACACGUGGACAACCUGCCCAAAGGUCCGGGAUAACCCCGGGGAACUGGGGAUAAUACCGGAUAAGUCACAGGUACUGGAAGGUCUUGUGGUUGAAACUUCCGGGGCCCUUGGAUGGGUCUGCGGCGGAUUAGGUUGUUGCCGGUGUAACGUACCGUCAAGCCUGUAAUCCGUACGGGUUGUGGGAGCAAGAGCCCGGAGAUGGAUUCUGAGACACGAAUCCAGGCCCUACGGGGCGCAGCAGGCGCGAAAACUCUACAAUGCAGGCAACUGCGAUAGGGGAACAUCGAGUGAUACUCAUCUUGGGUGUCUGUCCCACCGUCUAAAAAACGGUGGUUAGCAAGGGCCGGGCAAGACCGGUGCCAGCCGCCGCGGUAAUACCGGCGGCUCGAGUGGUGGCCGAUAUUAUUGAGUCUAAAGGGUCCGUAGCCGGCUUUGCAAGUCUUUUGGGAAAUCCAGCGGCUUAACCGUUGGUCGUCCGGGAGAUACUACAUUGCUUG
rnacentral:rRNA from 1 species